UGUUUGCACUUAGCGGGAAGGGUAAGAACCUUCGACUAAGGUUCGACUCGAGCGCCAGCGAGAGAACGUUGCCGCAGGCAACGGCCCGAAGGGCGAAGCGCUUUAGCGCCGAGUAAUCCUUCCCCCACCACUG
rnacentral:sRNA from 1 species